UUGCUCUUGAGUUCCUAGCCACACCAGUCUUAAUUUCCUUCAUCCCAUUCUCCAUGCGCCACAACAUGGGGACCAAUCAGCUGAAUAUGUAGACUUUCAUUAGAAAACAGAACUCAACCCCACUUUACUCUUUUGUGUUCCAUGUGCCUAACAAGGAUUACACAAAGAAAUCAUAGUGGUGAUUCUUAACUCAAAACUACACAUAGCUAGCUCUUCCUCACCAGCGUGAGCUAUGAUGACAUCUUCACCCAUCUCUUCAAGUCGUGUGACAGCCUAGAAGGAGAGUACCCUCUUCACCCUUGUUCGGCCUUGCAUGCUGAAAGUAAGGAGCAUGAAGCUUAAAUAAAAUUCUUGUCCCUCUUGUCCAGCCGUGAACCAUAUCAAGAAAGAAUAAUGGACUGCAUGUUAAAUUCCUUCCAAAAAUCUGCACCAAAUCCGUGAGCUCGUAGAAGAGGAACAUCAAGAUGGAUGGUACAUUUUCUUCUGUCCAUUUUUCCCCAACACCGUGAGCACCCUUGAAGGAUGACCAAAGCUUUCAAGCACAUGCUGCUCCUAUUUCCCUGUUCGGUUGUGUAUCUAUAAUCAAGGAGGUGAGAUGAUUUUUCGUUGCCUUUUGUUCGUUCAUACUUGGACGGGUUUUGAUUAAGUUUUCCCCUUUUUCUGGAGCAUUGUUUUCCCUUGAGUGAGUCGCUGCCCUUUGCAUGCAACUGGUUUCAACUCCUUGGAAAAGUGGAGAGUGAGGUACUGCCCUCCACACGCAUAGAUAACCCUUGGAUGCAGCCUAGAAGGUGUGCUAACUUCUAAAAGUGUGGGCUGAUUGGUGAUGCUUUGAUAAAAUAAAAUGUUAAAGACUCGAGGAGGACGUAAAAGCUUUUGAGGACUUGGAUAUUUGCUGUUGGUUUCUUCUAUUGGGCAUGCUGCUGUGAUUGUAUUAUUUUCAUGGAUGACUGUACUAAUUGUGGAUGUUUAAAUUAUUAGUGAACUAUGUUUGCAUUCU